rnacentral:rRNA from 1 species
AUUGAACGCUGGCGGCAGGCCUAACACAUGCAAGUCGAACGAGUGGCGGACGGGUGAGUAAUGUCUGGGAAACUGCCUGAUGGAGGGGAUAAACACUGGAAACCGUAGCCAAAACCGCAUACCACUAGUCGUCCCCAAAUGGGAUUAGCUAGUUGGUGGGGUAACUGCCCAACAAGGCGACGAACCCUAGCUGGUCUGAGAGGAUGACCACCCACACUGUAACUGUGACAAGGUCCAGACUCCUACGGGGGGAAGCAGUGGUGAAUAUUGGAAAAUGGGAGCAAGCCUGAUGCAGCCAUGCCGCGUGUAAGAAGAAGGCCUUCGGGUUGUAAAGGACUUUCAGCGGGGAGGCGUUACCCGCAGAAGAAGCACCGGCUAACUCCGCGCCAGCAGCCGCGGUAAUAA